rnacentral:rRNA from 1 species
UACGGAGGAUCCGAGCGUUAUCCGGAUUUAUUGGGUUUAAAGGGAGCGUAGGUGGAUUGUUAAGUCAGUUGUGAAAGUUUGCGGCUCAACCGUAAAAUUGCAGUUGAAACUGUCAGUCUUGAGUACCGGAGAGGUCAUCGGAAUUCCUUGUGUAGCGGUGAAAUGCGUAGAUAUAAGGAAGAACACCAGUGGCGAAGGCGGCCGCCUGGCCUGUUACUGACGCUGAGGCACGAAAGCGUGGGGAGCAAAUAGG